UGCUUGCUUUUUCUGCUCUUUGUUAAUGUCCAUCUGCAUUUGACCCUGCAGGGCCGUGGAAGCAUAAAAGUGACUAAUCCACAGGAUUGACUACAUGGUGUGGCCUAGUAGAUAGAGCUGAACUGAGACUCAGGAGACCUGUGUUCUAAUCCUAGCUCUGACUUUAGGAAAGUCACUUCACCUCACUGUGCCUCAGUUUCCUCGUCUUUAAAAUCAGGAAACAUCUGUCCAAGUGGGAACCUGCCUUUGCUUAAGAGCCCCUCUGAGAAAUUCUGCUCCUAAAUUAUUGGGAGCUCCCAGCAGAUCCAGGCCUGUCAAGUUGGACACUCACAAUCACCAGUCUUGGCUACAGCAGUUUCCUCGCCAAUCAAAAACAGCAAAUCAGCUUCCUAAGGGGGAGAUAGAAUUUUGUAGGCUGCUUUAUCUGCGCAUAAAACCAGUUGUGUGCUGCACCAUUUCCACCUGGAACUUUGAAAGCAUCAGAACAAAGCGGUGGCAUAUCAGCUGUCCCUCCCCAGGCUGCUAGCCAGUAGGCAGCGUGUUAAAAGAUGAUGAAUAGCAGGACGCCGCCCGCAUUUGCAUGCGGGAGCUCUAACUGCCCGCUGGGUUUGUGUCUUACUGUUGUAUGAUGUUACACAAACGUUUUAAUUUGUAUCGUGAAGCACGGCUGACAAAUGGACAGAUCUGUCUGUGCAAAGAGGAUCGGCUACCGAUGAUUUACAACGAGGCUCAUGCACGCCAGCUCAGGAGCGUUUCAACAUGACGGCCUAAUGGUUAUUAAUUCGGCUGGAAUUUACUGCAGUGCCUUUAAUCCUGAUGGACUCGUUGGGUUGAUUUGUGUGUGUGUGUGCGCGCACGCUCCCUGGCAAGGUGAAGCUCAGCCAUGUGUUUCUGUUUAGAGGAAGUUGGCCUGACAGUUCCAGCCCUCCUCCUUGGUGGGAAGCGCUGGGUUCCAAAGCCCUGGAAACGUGUGAAGGCUGCAAUUUGACUCCCUUGGCUUCCACUUCCCGGCAGAAAAAGAACCGCUGGUGCCAAAAUUCAAUCCUCCCGGGGAGGCUGGAAAUAUUUAGGACGCCGUCCAAGGAUCAAUAAAAUAAAGAACAGGCCAGGAUUGUGGGGCUCCUUCAAACAAUAAAUUCCCAGCCCUGGGGAUGCAGCGGCGGUGAGGAAGGCCAGUCCAGAAGGCCGAAGUCGCCAUGAUUCUUGGGGCGUCACGGUCGUGCUGGAGAAUUCAGGCCCCGAUUCCUUAGAAAGCCCGUUGCUGCAGAAGGGGAGAGACAUGAUGUGGAGUUAAUGCUGGACACACCCUGGGAACGAGGCGGAGAAAUGGGCUUUUCCCAAAACCUUUGAGGAUAUGGAGCCUGAACGGGUCUGGAGAUUAUAAUCCAGAAUUUGCAUAAUUUGCCACUGUCCUUCCUCCAGCUAGGAGAUCUGCGCCCAGGGAGAAAUUGACAGGAGUUGGAGCUUCUCUAAGGAAUGGCCGUCCCAGAGGCAAUGGAGGGAACCAACAGGAGAAAGAAGGCUCCUGGAAUAUGCUGCACGGCUGCCAAACAUCAACAUGUGUGACCAUAAAACGCAGCCCCAGGAAGCGGAAUGCGAUAAUCUCGAACCUGAAAUUGUGAGCCGGGGAGGUGAGAGCCCCGCUCCAGUCUCCUCUCUUUAGCAGGACUGAAUGCAACAAAGGGUGGAUGUUAAAGGAAGGCCAAAUAGGACCACUGAGCAACCUGGGACUUACAAGGGAUGGUGUAUGGAGAGCACAGUGAUGCUUCAGCAGAGGAAGGAGAUUGGAGAAAUCUCUCUCUUUCUCUGGUCGAAGAAUCUGUCUCCCUCGGCUGAUGUUUUGAGUGACUUGUUGGUUGAGCCCAGCUACAGAAGAGCUUGUGAUGAGCCAUCUCCGCUCUCUCCGGCCCAAAAGAUGCUGUCGUAGUGACUUGGUGCCUCCAGAGACCGAGAGGUUCACAGGAGAACUUAACCUUACAUGAAAAGCAUCAACGCAUGUGAAAAAAUAUGCAGGGCUGCUAAACUGCAGAGUGAACUAACAGCUCCCUGGAGAUCCGUGUGAGCUGAACCCUGAAGGGCAGCUGGCCAGGGAUUUAUCCCCACAACUACUUAAAAAUCAAACAUUUCUAUUUUUGGGGAGGAGGGGGGAAGCCCUUCUGGGUGAAGUUUAAUGCGGAUGAAUGUGAGACGGCUGGUGGGACUCAUACCAGGCGGAGAUUAGAAAGGGGCCAUGUCACGGUUUUGCUUUCUUCUGUUCCUCUCCUGCCAUGCAGCUGAGAUGAUACACCUCAUUGCUGCCUGGCAGCAUCCUAGGCUGUUGUUUCAAUCCUUCGCCCUUCGGCAACCUGGUUAAUGCCCCUCUGUCCUGACCUGCAGCAGCCGCGUUCUGUCUCGGGCUGGGCAGAAGAAUGCAGCGAUGCCGUCAAAGUGGCAGGAAAGGGGGGUUGAGCUUUGGCAUUCCUGCUUGGACUCGAACGAGAAGCAGCAAGCGUGGAGAGAAGGGAGAGGCAGUGAGUGAUAAAUCCAAGAGAGGAUCAAAGACCCGGACAAGAGAUUUUAGUUGCAGAGGGGAAUGAGUUGGAUUUAGUGACACGAAAGAAGUGACAGGACUUCACGAGGGACAGACUAUGCGGGGAGAAGGCGAGAGCUGGAAGUCGACCGUGGAGUUGUCAGUGGUGACAGAGAAGGGCAGCUUGGGAUGAGGAGAAGAGUUUUCAGGUUUGAAGCGAGGGUGGCAGCAUGUCUGGUGUGCCAGGCUGGUGAGAAAGUGGCAGGUGGGUGAUGGAGAGGUUGGCGCUGUAAAUAACACUCUGGGAACAAGAUCUAAAUGGAAAGAGCUGUAGGUAGAGUUGUCACGGACUGGAGGUGCAAAGGUCUAUCAGGAGAAGCGUGAAUGGAGGGAAGGGAUUGACCUUAAAGUGAAGGUCCUCAGCAGAGUUCGAGCAAGAGCAGAGGGAGCGAAUGCUGUGGGUUAGAGGCACAGAGGAAGCAAGAGGCCAGACUGUACAUCAACAGGAGAAAUUGAUUCAGUGUCACUUUCCACACUAUUUCAGCUAGGGACUCGUCUCCAGCCUUCCUGACCCUGCACCCCUGCUAUUCCUCUCUCCCCACCCUUCCAGCCAGCCUCCUUUCUGACCUGCAGUGACCCCGGUCAAGGCAGGUCGAAACAUUUUCCAUCAACCCUUUUAAUUUUUUUUAACGGGAAAUUGGAUUUUCGACUGAACGGGAAAUGGUUGCAGAAAGUGCCUGCUUUAAUUGAGAGAAAUCCAAAUGCUUUUUGUUGGGAAACUGAAAAUUAGCGUCUGAAGGGCACUGAAAUGAAAGUGUUUUUCACUGCCAAAAACGGAGAGGGGGGAAAAAAAAGAUUAGUUUCUGAGUUCAAUGUGGUCUUAUCUGGGGGAAGCUUCCUUCACAAGGGUAGAUCAGCCUGGUGUGGGCGUCAAACUUGAAACACCCAAGCCCCAGCUGGCUUUGCUUUUACCCCAAACUUGGGCUGGAAAGACCUAGCACUGCUCUUUGGCCUGAAGCCCCUAACCAACCUCUGAGGAGAUGACCAGCUGGCACAACCGCCAGGGGGACACUUGAAGCUGGAUCUUGGUGCGGGGGUCGGGGGGAAGCAGAUAGUGACAAACGUUCAGUGAAUCCCAACAGCUCCAGGGCAUAGGCAGCGCUUCUAGAGUAGGCAGGAUGUGCGAUCAUUGCCUUACCUGGUUCUUCAAACCUCCAGGGAAAGGGCGGCCAAGCGGCCUGAGACUUGACAGACCCCGCUUCUAUCAAUUUCUCUCUCACAAGCUUCCUUGGGCAAGUCGCUUAGUCACCCAGUGUCUCAAUUCUUAUCCCUCUGCCUAUCCAGAUCUACCCCAGGGCAGAGGCUCUUUAUGGCCUGUGUUUGUACAGUGCAAGCACAAUGUCUGGUUCGUGUCUGGGGCUCAUAGGUGUGGCUAUGAUACAAAUAAAUAACAAUCAGAGUGGCGAUGCUGCGUUCGCAGUUGCGCCCCAUUCUCCGCUAUCACCUGCAGUCGCUGUGGGGAGCUGAGAGAUCCACACUCCUCGGGGACCGAUUGCAUCCCUCGGCUUCCGGCACUGGAGAAAGCCAGGUGUCGCCCCAGUUUAAUUUGUUUUAAAUUAAUUUGCAGAGGGGGGAGCUGGAGGAGGCUGAAAGGUGAAAAGGGCUUUUCCUGGAGCCUUGCCAACUGGGAAAUAUCCUUUGCAACUUCUUUGUGAAAGCUCUGGUGACUUCCCGGGGAGGGAGACCUAAAUUCUAUUCAAUUAGGGGUAAUAAAGCCAUGUUUUCCUGCCUCCUAAUCCCCAGCAAGGUUGGGAAUUUACAUGGGCAAUCAGUUAAUCCAUCUACCAGUCUCAUCGCCAGCCCCUCUGAAGCACGGUUUUGUUUUCUCAAGCCAGCACACAGGAGCGGAAAGCUUCAGGUUAGACGGACCGGGCAGGCUUUACGGUGAGGCUUGCCCACCAAAGUAGCCUGAGCUGGAUAUUCUGCAAUGCGAUUGUUCAGUCCCUGAUCAUACAUCUGGGGCCUUUCUUCCAGGGAGACCUCUUUCCAGGGUGAAAAGAAGCACCAUUCAUCAAUUCCAAGGCCAGCAGGGACCCCGUGAUCAUCCAGUCUAAUCUCCUGCAUAACACAGGCCAGAGAACUUCAUCAGAAUAAUCCCUAUUUGAAUUAGUGCAGAUCUUUCCAAAAACUGUCCAAUCUUGAUUUAAAACCUGUUAGUGGUGGAGAAUCUGCCACAGCCCUUGGUAAAAUUGUCCUAGUGGUUAAUUACUCACCCUCACUGUUAAAAAUGUACACGUUGUUUCUAGUCUGAGUUUGUCUAGCUUCAGCUUCUAGCUUUUGGAUCCUGGUAGAUCUUUGCCUGUUUGACUGAACUAUUUGUAGGUUAUGAAGUGGAAUCAAGUCACUCCUUAAUCUUCUCUCCCCCCCCCCCCCCCACAACGGCUAAAUAGAGUGAGUUCCUUGAGUCUUUCACUAAUAAGGCACCAUUAUAGGCAGAAAGCAUCAGCUGGGAAAGGUCGGCCCAAUCUUGGGUGGACUGAAUCCAGGGUUAGAAGUGAAUGGUUCUUGGGUUUGAAUCCUGGCUCUGCCACAACUUCCUGUGUUCUCCGAGUCAUGUUGCUGCUCGGUGCCUCAGUUUCCCUAUCUGGAAAAGGAUGAUAAUGCUGCUUCCCUACCUUAUCUGUUAAUGUUUGUGCACCGCUUGGGAAAUAUAGCAUAUCCCACAAAUGCUAAAGAUUAUUUUGUAACAGAUCCAAGACCAUCUAGAAUAUCACAGCUGUCACUAUACUGUAUGGUGUGAACAUCCUGACAGCAAGGUAGAUAGUUCCCAUAUCCUCCUGCUCUAUGAAGCACAAGCUCCCUCUACACCUGAACUUAAAAGUGACUCUCCAUUAGCUAUGAGCUGUAUAGGGCCUAUGAAACACCAUUGAGCAAUUCUGAUCAGUAGAAGACAGCAGUGACACAUGCUAGCCAAUUAGUUACAACACAGAUGCCAAGGGGUGUUGACUGUUGUUGAAUUUCACACACACACAUGCCACGCUAUGUGAGUGAGGCAUGAGAUGGGACUGACACGGGAGACAAGUAGGGUCGGGAAGAAGGAUGACGCCAGACCUUGCCUCUAUGCAGGCGCUAGAGAAAGCCAUCCAUGUGCUCCAAAAGUCAGAGGGCUGGCAAGACAAACACAGCUGCAGAUAAAGGGAAGGGAAUGGUAUCAACAAAGCAGGGCAUUGACUUAGUCUCUGUUGCAAGGAAGUUGGUGUAAGCACCUCAGAGUUGAAACAGGAAAGGUCUCCCUCCCGACUAGUUCUCUAGUUCAUCGGUAUCUUCUAGGAUAAGACUGUGUUGUGGUCCAAAGGCCUGUCAAGAGAGGCGUCUCUCAGCCAGACCAUGGUCUGAGAAGAACCAGGGAGCUGUUUGUCUUUGGGAGACUCCUCCCUUGCGGUGGUAGCAGUGGGGAAUUGUUGGUACGGGUCUCUGAGGUGCAGCCACAGCCCCCCAGCCGGGGACUGCACGGGUUUCAUGGAGUGGGCUGUGAAGGGAGGCGAGAAACGCCCAGAGUCUCAGUGCAGGGAUCCCCCCGCGCUCACGCAUGAAACAAGCGCUGCUGUAUUUCAAAGGAGCUGUGGGUGGAAGCUUUGCAGGGGUGAACUAGGCUUUGCUGGGCCCCGGAGAAGGGGUGAGAAUGAGAUGGGGAAAAGGGAUUUCUCAGCUGCAGGGGCAUUCCCGGGGGGAGAUGAUUUCUUGUUUGACAAGCACAGACCAGCGUGCCAGGAACUGAGGGAAAGUCGUCUGAUAAUGUGAGCUGAGGGCCGGGCGGAGAAGGUCACUGGCCUGAUUGGUGAAGCAUUGAGGCUUCCCAGCUGCUUCAUCCCAUGGGCCGUAAACAAGGGAGUCUCUGGGAUCCAUCCACAGCUGCUUUGAUACUGGACUGUAACCUCAGGGCUGGGGUCCAGUAAUUCCCAUCUGCUUUAGCCCAUGGACAGUAGAACUAAAAGGAUGCUUUCAGUCCCUAGUAUCAGACAGAUCUGGGUUCAACAGAGCCCUGGGGCGGACAACAGGGGCCCUGGAUUUAGCCAGUGCCUGGCUCUUAUGCGCAGAAUUCCCCCAACUCACCACCCUCUGCAGCAUCCCCCCCCUCGCUGUCAUUGACACGAAGCAUCGCAUGACUGUCCCUGCUGGUUCCCAGCCCGAGGGCAGAGAUCGCCAUCUGUUCCGUCCUCACCACGGCUUUCUCUUCAUUAGGGACUUUGCCAUGAUCACCUCUCUGCCGCGGUUAUCGUCUCACUAACCCCAGUCUGGCACUGAUUUCUCCAUCUCCUUCACCACCCCAUCUGGCCUGCCACCACCCCCACUGUUGUCAUCCUUGCAGCCGUGUGCUGACACAUCACGAAGCAGCCUCUUGGUUCGCCUUAAACAAAGGAGUGAUUUCCAGGGAAGGGGGAGAGAGCUAGCCAGCCUGGAUGCUGCUCUGCCACUCCCCUUCUCAGCAUUGCUUUGUCUCUAGAGGAGUUAAUGAAAGCCAGGUGCAGGCUAGAACAUGAAUUGCAACAGUGCACAUGUGUCUGUUUCCAGGCAUCAGGUGUUCUAGUUAAUUCAUAGGCCACAGAAUUGUAUAAUUAACUCUUCAGCUGCUGAAUAAAAAAUACAGUGCAAAAGUCAUCUCGCUCUAUCGCAUGUCUAAUUACAACCCUUACCAUUUGCCCUGUGCGGUGUGCAAUCAUUCACACCCGUGCAAAAUAGCUGCAACGUGCUCCCAGUCCAACCUGGUGGCAUUCUGUGCUGGUGCAAAGACUACACAAGCUGGAGUGUGGUGAAUCGAGAUUCAUGGCCUCUUUCCUUUCCCAUUAUUGUCCCUCGCCCACUGUUGCCAUCAGCAUCAAUGUGUCUGUCGCUCUUGCUGUCCUCUCAGACGCAUGGCGCGAAUGCUGCCCGGUGGGGUUGCUGUGUCUGUGGGGUCCGCCUUUAAUCUGCUACUCAGCGCAUCAGCUCUCUCCUCUUUGAAAGAGGCCCAGGCUUCCAGAGGAGGUCAGCACAGAGUAAUUAUGGGGAGGAUGGGGUUUCAGAGGAGGCUGUGAUUUAAGAACGACUCUGAUCCAUUAUUAUCUCAAGCCAUGAUAAUAAACUCAAGACGGGCACUUUGUCCCCCUAGAAACCUCUCGGUGAAAGGCAGGAUGGGCAAAUGGGAGGCAUGAGAUGAAAUGAGGAGGUCCCCCGGGAGCCAGGGCUGCAGCGCUCUUCCUGGAGCUGAUCUUUCAUAAUUGGGUUUCUAGAUGCCGCCCGCUCAAUGCACUCCUCCUCCAGACUCCUUGGGCCUAAUUUCAUAACGUGGCCGCUGAUGGUGGGAGCAGAAGACAGAGUAACAUCAUUCCCAGUAACACUAUCGCCUCCCAUUUGAUCUGUGAGAGAGGCACAUAACAAUCAGAAUUAGGAAGUCGGAGAUAAAGUUACCCUCAUUUGAUCCAUGGAUGGAAAAGAUUUACCUCUGAAAGCAGGAAAUUUCAUAUGCUUAAAAGUAUAUAUAAUGUGUAAACAGUGUUCGAGCUUUUAAAUGCCUUCUGGCCCCUACUGAUUCACAAGCAAACGGGUCCAGGCAGAGGGCCAGGGAGGGAUUCCUCAGAUUGGAUCGAUUUUGAUGUCGCUUUUCAAGUCCCAUUUUUGAUUUCUCUGUGUGUGUGGCUGUGU